GACGAACGCUGGCGGCGUGCUUAACACAUGCAAGUCGAGCGGUAAGGCCCUUUCGGAGGUACACGAGCGGCGAACGGGUGAGUAACACGUGGGUGACCUGCCCUCAGCUCUGGGAUAAGCCUGGGAAACCGGGUCUAAUACUGGAUAUGACUCCAUGACGCAUGUUGUGGGGUGGAAAGCCUUGUGCGGCUGAGGAUGGGCCCGCGGCCUAUCAGCUUGUUGGUGGGGG
rnacentral:rRNA from 1 species